rnacentral:rRNA from 1 species
CAGCCGCCGCGGUAAUACGUAGGUGGCAAGCGUUGUCCGGAAUUAUUGGGCGUAAAGGGCUCGCAGGCGGUUUCUUAAGUCCGAUGUGAAAGCCCCCGGCUCAACCGGGGAGGGUCAUUGGAAACUGGGAAACUUGAGUGCAGAAGAGGAGAGUGGAAUUCCACGUGUAGCGGUGAAAUGCGUAGAGAUGUGGAGGAACACCAGUGGCGAAGGCGACUCUCUGGUCUGUAACUGACGCUGAGGAGCGAAAGCGUGGUGAGCGAACAGGAUUAGAUACCCCCGUAGUCCCUGUCUCUUAUAC